AACGAACGCUGGUGGCAGGCUUAACACAUGCAAGUCGAACGCCCCGCAAGGGGAGUGGCAGACGGGUGAGUAACGCGUGGGAAUCUACCCAGAUCUUCGGAACAACUGAGGGAAACUUCAGCUAAUACCGGAUACGCCCUACGGGGGAAAGAUUUAUCGGUUCUGGAUGAGCCCGCGUUGGAUUAGCUAGUUGGUGAGGUAACGGCUCACCAAGGCGACGAUCCAUAGCUGGUCUGAGAGGAUGAUCAGCCACACUGGGACUGAGACACGGCCCAGACUCCUACGGGAGGCAGCAGUGGGGAAUAUUGGACAAUGGGCGAAAGCCUGAUCCAGCCAUGCCGCGUGAGUGAUGAAGGCCUUAGGGUUGUAAAGCUCUUUCAGUAGGGAAGAUAAUGACGGUACCUACAGAAGAAGCCCCGGCUAACUUCGUGCCAGCCGCCGCAGUAAAAC
rnacentral:rRNA from 1 species